UGGGGUAUAGCCAAGGGGUAAGGCAUCAGAUUCUGACUCUGAGUAUGGUCGGUUCGAAUCCGACUACCCUAGCCA
rnacentral:tRNA from 1 species